CUGGAUCAUUCUGCAAUGCUUCCUUUGCGAACAGUGAAGAUAUCAGCUCUCCUGGAUGCCUUCCCAUCAUAACUUCCAUGGCCACCACUCCAAAGCUGUAUACAUCCGAUUUCUCCGUCACCUUUGUUGGAAUGCUGACAACUGAACUCAUUACCUGGCGCCAUAUAGCCAUAAGAACCUGCAACUGUCGACCAUGUCGACGAAUCAGAGGUCAGUAAUUUAGCCGUGCCGAAGUCUGAGAGGCGUGGCUCGAACUCUGAUUCCAGUAAAAUAUUGUUUAUUGAUACGUCACGGUGGACAAUCGGCGGGGAGCAGUCAUGGUGAAGGUACGCAAGUGCGUGGGCGAUUCCUUGGACAAUUUUCACCCUUGUAUUCCAGUUUAGCUCCAUGGCCUCUGUUUCGUCGUGCAGAACUUUCCCCAAGCUACCUCGCUCGACAUACUCAUAAACCAGGUACAUAGAUCCUUUCACAGAGCAGUAUCCAUGAAGCUUAACUAUAUUCCUGUGCCUCACUUCUGUCAGUGUUCUGAUCUCAUUCUCAAAGCUACGGCGAUUUGUUAGAGGGAUGUCGCUGGUGUCGGACAUGUUGAGCCUUUUUACUGCCACAGUUUGCCCUGUCGCUAAAUCAGCUUUAUAAACACUUCCGAAUCCUCCUCUUCCGAUGCAGUAUCUCUCGCUGAAUUGUUCCGUCGCUCGAACAAUAUCGCCAAAUGUAAGCUUCCCUUCUCUUUCCCAAAUGAGUGUUUGAGAUUGCUCAAAAUUGGCCAGACUUUUGGUUUCUUCAUCGCCUGGCUGAGAUUUCCUCCUACAGACAAGACAUCCAGCAAUAAUGAUAGCCAAAAUCAUGAGGCCAACAACUGGAAUGAUGACAGCAGUGAGAAUCUUUACUGCUCCAUUGUUAGGUUUUCGAGGUGAAGGGCUAACUGGACAUGCUUGCAAUCCUGUUGCGUUUCCGCACAAAUUAGGGUUUCCAGUGAAGGCUUUUGCUGGUGCUCUGCUAAAUAUAUUUGCAGUGGGGAUCUGACCGGAUAAAUUGUUGUAGGAAAAAUCAAAAUCAGUGAGGCUAAGCAUCUCGGAUAACGAUGAAGGAAUUCUCCCUGAAAGAUUGUUAUGAGAUAGGUUGAGAGAUAUGAGAGAUUUGAGACUUCCCAACGACGAUGGAAUUUCCCCUGACAGUGAAUUGUUACUGAGAUCCAGCAAGAUCUGCAACCUAUUCAAGCUCCCAAUUUCUGAUGGAAUGUUGCCUGAUAAAAGGUUGUUGCUCAAGCUCAAUCUGAGUAAUUGCUGACAUUUUCCAAGAACUUCUGGAACAUUCCCUGUGAAUCGAUUCCCUGACAAAUCAAGGUACUGGAGCCUCAUCAGCUGGCCAAUACUUUGAGGGAUUCCUCCAUUCAACUGAUUGUUGCUCAGAUCCAGCCGGUAGAGUUUUUCUAGUUUUCCGAGUUCCCUAGGAACUUCACCUGUCAAUUCAUUUGAAUCCAAGUGGAGAAGCUGCAACUGCCUCAGAUUCCUUAACUCCGCUGGGAUCACUCCAGAAAUUCUGUUGUGAUCCAUCUCCAUAUUUGUGAGGUUAGUGAACUGUCCCCACUUUGGUUCAAUUUGGCCAGCAAAUUGAUUUCUGCUGACAGAGAGGAAGAUGAGCUCUGGAUGAAUUCCAAAUGCUGCUGAAAUAUUUCCUGUAAAAUUGUUCCCUUCGAGCCGCACUCUCUGUAAAUUUGAGCAGUUCCUCAAGCAGGCUGGCAAUUGCCCUGAAAAUUUGUUGUUGUUCACUGUAAACUGUUCCAAAGUGAAGCCAGUGCAUAAUCCAGGCGGCAAUUCCCCAGAAAAGCUGUUAUUGGCAAAGCUAACACUCCUCAGGGGACUAUUUUUUCCGAGCUCCCGGGGGAUGAUGCCUGUAAGCUUAUUGGUGAACACAGACAGAUAUUUCAGGUUUGGGAGAUCAGAUAUUGAAUCUGGCAACUGUCCAAUCAAUUGGUUGGUAUUGAGAUCGAGUGUCUCCAGCGAAUUCAAAUCCCCAAUAUCUUCUGGAAUGAUUCCAGUAAGAUUGUUUUCAAACAAAUUCAGGUUAGCAAGAUUCGACAAGUUCCCAAUCGCCUUUGGUAUUUCACCAGAGAAGUGAUUCUCUGAAAGGUCUAGCUGCAUCAAAGAUUUCAGCUUUCCUAUCUGUGGAGGGAUGGAGCCAGAAAAUGAAUUCUUGUACAGAUAUAGGUAAACAAGAUUUGUGAGGAGGCCGAUUUCAGAAUGGAGUUCUCCAGUGAAAGAAUUAUUCUGAAGCUGCAAGGAUAUUAAUCUGGUCCAGUUGGUGAGAAACUGUGGCAAGAUCUCACCAGUAAGAUUGUUUCCAGAAAGCCCCAAGUCGGACAGGUUGAUCAAAUUUGACAAUGACAAAGGCAAAUUCCCAGUGAGUGAAUUCUCAGCUAAUGCUAAGAAGGUUAGGUUUGUGCAAAGGCCGAGCUCGAAGGGGAUUGAGCCAUUGAACUGAUUUUUGUGGAGAUCAAGUUUCUCAAGACUUCUGAGUUGGCCUAAAGUACCUGGAAUCUGUCCGUCUAACGAAUUGUUGAAUAAAUCAAGAGCUCGUAGAUCAGGUAUCAGGUUGAUGGAAUCAAUUAUGUUUCCAGCCAAGUUGUUGCUUGCUAAGCCAAGAUUUUUUAGUUUGGAUAGUUUGGUGAGAUUAGGUGACAUGAUCCCCUGGAAUGAAUUGGUACUGAGGUUGAGAUAUUCAAGCUUCACCAGAUUGCUGAAAAUGGAUUCAGGAAUCUGGCCUGUCAGCUUGUUAAGUGACAGAUCCAGGUAGGUUAGGUUCCGACAGGUGGGUAUGAAUUCUGGGAAUCCGAGGUGGAGCUCAUUGUAAAAGAAGCUGAGGUGAGUCAGAAAAGGGAAACUUGGGAUUUUGGACCAAUCAGGACUCUCCAGGUAAUUAGAACCAAAAUCCAUGUAAAUUACCUUUUGAAAAUUGCCAAUUUGAUAUGGGAUUGUUCCUUUGAGGUUGUUGUUGUAGAAGCUAAUGUACUGGAUCUCUCUCAAAUUGCCAAUCUCUGGAGGGAUGACACCGUCCAAAACAUUGUUGCUUAGAUCCAAGACUACAAGCUUCGACGCAUUGCCGAUACUCUCUGACAAAUCGAUUUGUGAAACCGAGCCGCCGUCGUUGCAAAGGAUCCCUUCCCACGUGCACAAGCUUGUGGGGUUGUUUGGCGGCCAUGAAUUGAUGGAAGAGGAGUUUGGUAAGGUGUUCUUCCAGCUGAUUAAUGCCUCUGCUUCUGUUGCAGGAGAGGAAGAUGCUUUGGAGGGGAACAAGGUGAAGAGAUGAAUGUGGAGAAAGAAAAGGAAAGAUCUUUGGGAAGGUGACAUGAUUGCUUAAUUUGCUCGAGUGUCUUCUAUUCGCAGAUCUAUUCAAAUCGUCGACAAAUCUGUCAUUUCUAUCAAAGUUCAAUGUCUCACACAACAAUAUUUCUGGAGCGAUACCUCGAUCUGGAGGUCAAUUUGGGACAUUUGAAAAUAGUCCAUUUAUUGGGAACACUGAGCUAUGUGGACAUCCAUUGACAAAGAAAUGCAAAAGUGAGAAUGAGGGGAUAUUCGAUGGGAUGACAUGGCAAGGUGUUCUCAUGGGGUAUGGCUUCCGACAUCAUAGUCUUAAUUGCUCGUAUAUUUAACAUGUAACAACAACGAUGACAACAAAUCAGACAUGUUGUAAAUUUAGUUGGUUGCGUACUUGUUCGAAGAAGAACAAAGAUGGGAUUGUCCAUUGGGUUGCCAUAAAGUUACGCCAAUUUUUUACAGUCAUGCAGAAAAAAAUCUCAGAUUUACACGAGGACUUCGUUGACGAGAAGAACACGGACAUGGAAGUUGAUUGCAAGGACUAACUUAUUGAUAGACAGCUUGCAAUUGGAUUGGUGUCACAUGUGGCAUGCGUCGCCAAAGGGUAAUCGGAUUGAAUAUUUCCUUCAUGGGCCUUGUCGGAAGCAUUCCCCCGGAGUUUGGAAACUUGUCAUUCCUAGCUUCCAUGGAUAUCAAGGGCAACAACUUCAGCGGGACUCUACCAGAAGAUCUGACUCGUUUGCGAAGAUUGACAUACAUGAGACUCAGUGACAAUAACUUUGCCGGGGAGAUUCCACAUUGGUUUUCUUCAAUUCCUCGACUUGAGUUCCUAUCUCUUGCAUUGAAUAGUUUCGCUAGCAUGAACUCGUUUAUCGAGUCAUUUUCAAAUGAAUCAAAGCUCAA